rnacentral:siRNA from 1 species
UGGCCUUUUGCAUGUAAACUAA